rnacentral:rRNA from 1 species
AACGAACGCUGGCGGCAUGCCUAACACAUGCAAGUCGAACGAGACCUUCGGGUCUAGUGGCGGAAGGGUGGGUAAUGCAUGGGAAACUGCGCUUAGGAUCGGUAUAACUUCUCGCAAGGGGUUCUAAUUACGGAUAAUAUCCUCGGACUAAAGAUUUAUCGCCUUUGGAUGUGCUCGCGUUGGAUUAGCUAGUUUGUAGGGUGAAAGCCUACCAAGGCGACGCUCCAUAGCUGGUUAGAGGGGAUGAGCAGCAACACUGGGACUGAGACACGGCACAGGCGCCUACGGGAGGCAGCAGUGGGGAAUAUUGAACAAGGGGCGAAAGCCUGAUCCUGCCAUGCCGCGUGAGUGAUGAAGGCCUUGAGGUUGUAAAGCUCUUUUACCCGGAAUGAUAAUGACGGUACCGGGAGAAUAAGCUCCGGCUAACUCCGUG